AUGGUGUCCAUGCUCUUGAGGGCUUCCCGUGACUUGGCUCGCGCCGCCCGCACAAUUGCGUCGGCUGGUCGCUGGGCACCGCCGGUGACCGUGGCUCGCUCAGCCCCCUCAGAUCUGAGGGGCCGCCUGUCCUUCCACAGCGGCAUAGAUCCUAACACCCCCCGCUCCACCAACGCAGCCCCCGACGAACUGGCAUCGUCCCCCUCCUGCACCCCCCACCCAGACCCAGGUACAGAUGAGGUAAUCUUGCCUUCAGACAAGGACCUCGAGUCUGAGGAAGCCCUGUGGGCCUUGUACAAGCGCUGGUGCAAGUCUUUCAACGAGGAGCGUGACUAUGAUGAGAUGGUUCGCCGGUUUGAUACAUUCAAGGACUCUGUUCGGAUGGUGGACAGUGUGAACAAGGCUAAUUUGCCUUACACUCUGAAAUUAAGUCAAUUCGCUGAUGGGAAGCUAGCAGAGUACGUGAUGCCAAAGGUAUUUGAUGAACAGCGCUAUCGCCCUGAUUCUGCAACUUCUGGGAAGGGUGGGGCUUUCAUCUAUGCAGGAGAAGAUGAUGUGCCGGAACAUCCCCAAAUGAGGUUCAAGUUCUCUGAAUCUGGAGGUCCCAUCAUCCCCUUGGAAUGA
rnacentral:rRNA from 1 species